GAUGAACGCUGGCGGCGUGCCUAAUACAUGCAAGUCGAGCGAACGGACGAGGAGCUUGCUUUUCUGAUGUUAGCGGCGGACGGGUGAGUAACACGUGGAUAACCUACCUAUAAGACUGGGAUAACUUCGGGAAACCGGAGCUAAUACCGGAUAAUAUUUUGAACCGCAUGGUUCAAAAGUGAAAGACGGUUUUGCUGUCACUUAUAGAUGGAUCCGCGCUGCAUUAGCUAGUUGGUAAGGUAACGGCUUACCAAGGCAACGAUGCAUAGCCGAUCUGAGAGGGUGAUCGGCCACACUGGAACUGAGACACGGUCCAGACUCCUACGGGAGGCAGCAGUAGGGAAUCUUCCGCAAUGGGCGAAAGCCUGACGGAGCAACGCCGCGUGAGUGAUGAAGGUCUUCGGAUCGUAAAACUCUGUUAUUAGGGAAGAACAGAUGUGUAAGUAACUGUGCACAUCUUGACGGUACCUAAUCAGAAAGCCACGGCUAACUACGUG
rnacentral:rRNA from 1 species